rnacentral:rRNA from 1 species
GGUCAAGUUAUUAAGGGUGCAGGGCGGAUGCCUUGGCACUAGGAGCCGAUGAAGGACGUGAUAAGCUGCGAUAAGCUUCGGGGAGUUGCACGUAAACUUUGAUCCGAAGAUUUCCGAAUGAGGAAACUCACUUAGAGUAAUGUCUAAGUAUCAUUAAGUGAAUACAUAGCUUAAUGAGGGGAACUCAGGGAACUGAAACAUCUAAGUACCUGAAGGAAGAGAAAGAAAUUCGAUUCCGUAAGUAGCGGCGAGCGAACGCGGAUUAGCCCAAACCAAUAAAGUUUUCUUUAUUGGGGUUGCGGACAUAUCAUAACGAAGAGAUAUCGUAAUUGAAGAGGUUUUGGAAAGACCCACCACAGAAGGUAAUAGUCCUGUAUGUUAAACGAGAAGACUUUAGAUAUGAUCCAGAGUACCACGGGACACGUGAAACCCUGUGGGAAGCAGGAGGGACCACCCUCCAAGGCUAAAUACUACCUAGUGACCGAUAGCGUAUAGUACCGUGAGGGAAAGGUGAAAAGAACCCCGGGAGGGGAGUGAAAUAGAACCUGAAACCCUGCACUUACAAGCUGUGGAAGCACAUUUCUUGUGUGACCGCGUACUUUUUGUAGAACGGGCCAACGAGUUACGUUAAGUAGCAAGGUUAAGCACUUAAGGUGUGGAGCCGUAGCGAAAGCGAGUUUUAACUGAGCGUUCAGUUACUUGACGUAGACCCGAAACCGGGCGACCUACCCAUGAGCAGGAUGAAGCGAAAGUAAAAUUUCGUGGAGGUCCGAACCCACGAGCGUUGAAAAGCUCGGGGAUGACUUGUGGGUAGCGGUGAAAUUCCAAUCGAGCCCGGAGAUAGCUGGUUCUCCCCGAAAUAGCUUUAGGGCUAGCCUCAAGGUGAGAGAUACGGAGGUAGAGCACUGAAUGUCCUAGGGGGUAUUGCACCUACCGAAGACUAUCAAAACUCCGAAUGCCGUCAUCUUAUACUUGGGAGUCAGACUGUGGGUGAUAAGAUUCAUAGUCGAAAGGGCAACAGCCCAGAUCGUCAGCUAAGGUCCCUAAAUGUAAGUUAAGUGGUAAAGGAUGUGGGAUUGCACAGACAACCAGGAUGUUGGCUUUAGAAGCAGCCACUCAUUCAAAGAGUGCGUAAUAGCUCACUGGUCGAGUGAUCCUGCGCCGAAGAUUUCCGGGGCUAAAACUUACUACCGAAGCUACGGCAUCAGUAAUGAUGGGUAGGGGAGCUUCCCAUACGGGUUGAAGCAUGACCGUAAGGACAUGUGGACAGUAUGGGAGUGAGAAUGUUGGCAUGAGUAGCGAGAUGUGGGUGAGAAUCCCACAGGCCGUAAACCCAAGGUUUCCAGGGGAAGGUUCGUCCGCCAUGGGUUAGUCGGGACCUAAGCUGAGGCCGAAAGGCGUAGGUGAUGGACAACAGGUUGAUAUUCCUGUACUACCGAUAACCGUUUGAGAGAAGGGAUGACACAGUAGGAUAAGCUAAGCACACUGUUGGUUAUGUGUGCCCAAGCAUUGAGGCAGUCAAAGUAGGCAAAUCCGCUUUGAUAAUGCUGGGAUGUGAUGGGGAGCGAAAUUUAGUAGCGAAGUAGCUGAUUUCACACUGUCAAGAAAAGUCUCUAUCGAGGUUAAAGGUACCCGUACCGCAAACCGACACAGGUGGGUGAGGAGAGUAUCCUAAGGCCAGCGAGAGAACUGUUGUUAAGGAACUCGGCAAAAUGACCCCGUAACUUAGGGAUAAGGGGUGCCACCAUCAGGUGGCCGCAGAGAAUAGGCCCAAGCGACUGUUUACCAAAAACAUAGGUUUCUGCUAAGUCGCAAGACGAUGUAUAGGAGCUGACGCCUGCCCGGUGCUGGAAGGUUAAGGGGAUCUGUUAGAGCAAUCGAAGCAGUGAACUUAAGCCCCAGUAAACGGCGGCCGUAACUAUAACGGUCCUAAGGUAGCGAAAUUCCUUGUCGGGUAAGUUUCCGACCCGCACGAAAGGCGUAACGAUUUGGGCACUGUCUCAACAACAGACUCGGUGAAAUUGUAAUUCCGGUGAAGAUGCCGGAUACCUGCGACAGGACGGAAAGACCCCAUGGAGCUUUACUGUAGCUUGACAUUGGGUCUUGGUACUACAUGUACAGGAUAGGUGGGAGGCUUUGAAACCAGGACGCCAGUUUUGGCGGAGCCAUCCUUGGGAUACCACCCUUGUAGUACUGGGACUCUAACCAUAGGCCAUGAAUCUGGUCUUGGGACACUGUCAGGUGGGCAGUUUGACUGGGGCGGUCGCCUCCCAAAAGGUAACGGAGGCGCUCAAAGGUUCUCUCAGUACGGUCGGAAAUCGUACGUAGAGUGUAAAGGCAAAAGAGAGCUUGAUUGCAAGACAUACAGGUCGAGCAAGGAUGAAAAUCGGACUUAGUGAUCCGGUGGUUCUGCGUGGAAGGGCCAUCGCUCAAACGGAUAAAAGCUACCCUGGGGAUAACAGGCUUAUCUCUCCCCCAAGAGUCCACAUCGACGGGGAGGUUUGGCACCUCGAUGUCGGCUCAUCACAUCCUGGGGCUGUAGUAGGUCCCAAGGGUUGGGCUGUUCGCCCAUUAAAGUGGUACGCGAGCUGGGUUCAGAACGUCGUGAGACAGUUCGGUCCCUAUCCGUCGCAGGCGUAGGAAAUUUGAGAAGACCUGUCCUUAGUACGAGAGGACCGGGAUGGACGUACCUCUGGUGUACCAGUUGUUCUGCCAAGGGCAUGGCUGGGUAGCUAUGUACGGAAUGGAUAAGCGCUGAAAGCAUCUAAGCGCGAAGCCAACUUCAAGAUAAGAUUUCCCACCGCAAGGGUAAGACCCCAGAAAGACUAUCUGGUUGAUAGGUCGAAGGUGUAAGUGCAGCAAUGUAUUUAGCUUAUCGAUACUAAUAGGUCGAGGACUUGACCAA